rnacentral:rRNA from 1 species
CCUACGGGUGGCUGCAGUAGGGAAUAUUGGGCAAUGGACGCAAGUCUGACCCAGCCACGCCGCGUGAAGGAUGACUGCCCUAUGGGUUGUAAACUUCUUUUGUAUGGGAAGAAACCUCCGAACGUGUUCGGAGCUGACGGUACCAUAAGAAUAAGCAUCGGCUAACUCCGUGCCAGCAGCCGCGGUACUACGGAGGAUGCAAGCGUUGUCGGGAUUCAUUGGUUUGAAAGGGUGCAUUGGCGGCGAUGGUGAAAGCUCGCAGCUUAACUGUGAAAAUGCCAUUGAAACUGAUUUUCUUGAGUUCGAUUGAGGUAGAUGGAAUGUAUCAUGUAGCGGUGAAAUGCUUAGAUAUGAUACAGAACACCAAUUGCGAAGGCAGUCUACUAAGUCGAUACUGACGCUGAGGCACGAAAGCAUGGGGAGCAAACAGGAUUAGAUACCCCUGUAGUC